rnacentral:rRNA from 1 species
AUUGAACGCUGGCGGCAUGCCUUACACAUGCAAGUCGAACGGCAGCACGGGAGCAAUCCUGGUGGCGAGUGGCGAACGGGUGAGUAAUACAUCGGAACGUGCCCAGUAGUGGGGGAUAGCCCGGCGAAAGCCGGAUUAAUACCGCAUACGACCUAUGGGUGAAAGCGGGGGAUCGCAAGACCUCGCGCUAUUGGAGCGGCCGAUGGCAGAUUAGCUUGUUGGUGGGGUAAAAGCCUACCAAGGCUACGAUCUGUAGCUGGUCUGAGAGGACGACCAGCCACACUGGGACUGAGACACGGCCCAGACGCCUACGGGAGGCAGCAGUGGGGAAUUUUGGACAAUGGGGGAAACCCUGAUCCAGCCAUGCCGCGUGCGGGAAGAAGGCCUUCGGGUUGUAAACCGCUUUUGUCAGGGAAGAAACGGUCUGAUCUAAUAAAUCGGACUAAUGACGGUACCUGAAGAAUAAGCACCGGCUAACUACGUGCCAGCCGCCGCCGUAACAC